CUGAAGGGCGCGUCCGGGUCAAUUGCGGCUUGCAACACCCAAUCGCUCUCAACACACCUCCCGGAAUGGAGGUCGCUGAGGGCGAGCGCGUGACCGUCAG
rnacentral:ncRNA from 1 species